rnacentral:rRNA from 1 species
AUAUCAGUAAGCGGAGGAAAAGAAACUAACAAGGAUUCCCCUAGUAACUGCGAGUGAAGCGGGAAGUGCUCAAAUUUAAAAUCUGGCAAGGCUACUUGUCCGAAUUGUAAUCUAUAGGUGCUUUUUAGAAACGUGUAUUGGUGGUCCAAGUUCCUUGGAACAGGACAUCACAGAGGGUGAGAAUCCCGUCUGGAUCUCUGAUACACUUUCGCUUGAAAGCUCCAACGAGUCAGGCUGUUUGGGAUUGCAGCUUAAAUUGGGUGGUAAAAAACAUCUAAAGCUAAAUAAUGGCAAGAGACCGAUAGCGCACAAGUA